AGAACGAACGCUGGCGGCAUGCCUAACACAUGCAAGUCGAACGCUCCUGGGGCUUCGGUCUCAGGGGAGUGGCGCACGGGUGAGUAGCGCGUGGGAACCUGCCCUGUUGUGGGGGAUAACCGAGGGAAACUUCGGCUAAUACCGCAUAAGCCGGUUGUCUUGAAAGAGAUGACCGGGAAAGAUUUAUCGCGACAGGAGGGGCCCGCGUCGGAUUAGCUAGUUGGUGGGGUAACGGCCCACCAAGGCAGUGAUCCGUAGCUGGUCUGAAAGGAUGAUCAGCCACACUGGGACUGAGACACGGCCCAGACUCCUACGGGAGGCAGCAGUGGGGGAAUAUUGGACAAUGGGCGCAAGCCUGAUCCAGCAAUGCCGCGUGAGUGAUGAAGGCCUUAGGGUUGUAAAGCUCUUUCGCCCGCGACGAUGAUGACGGUAGCGGGAGAAGAAGCCCCGGCUAACUUCGUGCCAGCAGCCGC
rnacentral:rRNA from 1 species